rnacentral:tRNA from 1 species
UGUUCUGUGGCUUAGUUGGUAAAAGCGCCGGACUAGCGAUACGCAGUCCUGGGUUCAAAUCCCGUCAAAACAA